AGCGAACGCUGGCGGCAGGCCUAACACAUGCAAGUCGAACGGACCCUUCGGGGUUAGUGGCGGACGGGUGAGUAACACGUGGGAACGCGCCUUUAGGUUCGGAAUAGCUCCUGGAAACGGGUGGUAAUGCCGAAUGUGCCCUUCGGGGGAAAGAUUUAUCGCCUUUAGAGCGGCCGCGUCUGAUUAGCUAGUUGGUGGUGUAACGGACCACCAAGGCGACGAUCAGUAGCUGGUCUGAGAGGAUGAUCAGCCACAUUGGGACUGAGACACGGCCCAAACUCCUACGGGAGGCAGCAGUGGGGAAUCUUGCGCAAUGGGCGAAAGCCUGACGCAGCCAUGCCGCGUGGAUGAUGAAGGUCUUAGGAUUGUAAAAUCCUUUCACCGGUGAAGAUAAUGACUGUAGCCGGAGAAGAAGCCCCGGCUAACUUCGUGCCAGCCGCCGCAGUAACAC
rnacentral:rRNA from 1 species